rnacentral:rRNA from 1 species
GGUGGNGGACCCGUGGCGAACGGGUGAGUAAUAUAUCGGAACGUGCCCAGUCGUGGGGGAUAACGUAGCGAAAGCUACGCUAAUACCGCAUACGAUCUAUGGAUGAAAGCGGGGGAUCGCAAGACCUCGCGCGAUUGGAGCGGCCGAUAUCAGAUUAGGUAGUUGGUGAGGUAAAGGCUCACCAAGCCGACGAUCUGUAGCUGGUCUGAGAGGACGACCAGCCACACUGGGACUGAGACACGGCCCAGACUCCUACGGGAGGCAGCAGUGGGGAAUUUUGGACAAUGGGCGCAAGCCUGAUCCAGCAAUGCCGCGUGCAGGAUGAAGGCCUUCGGGUUGUAAACUGCUUUGUACGGAACGAAACGGUGAGCUCUAAUACAGUUUGCUAAUGACGGUACCGUAAGAAUAAGCACCGGCUAACUACGUG